rnacentral:rRNA from 1 species
GAUGAACGCUGGCGGCGUGCCUAAUACAUGCAAGUCGAACGAACAGACGAGUCGCUUGCUCCUCUUACGUUAGCGGCGGGCGGCAGAGUAACGCGUGGCUCACCUCCCUAUAAUACUGGGGUAACUUCGGGACUCCGACGCUAAUACCGGAUGCUAUAUUGAACCGCAUGUUUCAAUAUUUUACGGCGGUUUUGCUGUCACCGAUAUAUGGGUCCGCGCCGCAUUAGCUGGUUGGUAAGGUAACGGCGUACUAAGGCAACGAUGCGUAGCCGACCGGAGAGGGUGAUCGGCCGCACUGGAACUGGGCCACGGACCAGACGCCUACGGGAGGGAGCAGUAGGGAAUCUGCCGCAAUGGUCGAAAGUAUUACGGAGCAACGGCGCGUGAGUUGUGAAGGUGUUCGGAGCGUAAAACCCUGUUAUUAGGGAAGAACAAAUGUGUAAGGAACUAUGCACGUCGUGACGGUACCUAAACAGAAAGCCACGGCUAACUACGUG